GAAAUGCGAUAAGUAAUGUGAAUUGCAGAAUUCAGUGAAUCAUCGAAUCUUUGAACGCACAUUGCGCCCGGCAGCAAUCUGCCGGGCAUGCCUGUCCGAGCGUCAUUUCUGCCCUCGAGCGCGGUUCGGCCCCUAGCGGGCCGGCCGCCGCCCGGUGUUGGGGCGCUGCGGACCCUCGUGCCCGCAGGCCCUGAAAUGAAGUGGCGGUCCCGCCGCGGCGCCCCCUGCGUAGUAGUAAAGCACCUCGCAUCGGGUCCCGGCGGAGGCCAGCCGUCGAACCUCUCUUUUGAUGGUUUGACCUCGGGUCAGGUAGGGUUACCCGCUGAACUUAAGC
rnacentral:misc_RNA from 1 species